rnacentral:piRNA from 2 species
GACAGAUUCAUGGGUUUUUGAGCAGC